CUUGGGGUCAAAGUACUUGGCAAUAUGUGACAAUGCAUAUUCAAACCAAGCAAAAAAAGGUGGAUAAUCCAGGGUCCAUUCUGAAGUUGCUUCAUAGUACCACUGAGACAGAGGCAAGUUGUGUGUGAUGGCCAGCCAGUUCCGGUGCACUUCAAAGUCUGUGGAAUGAUACGUGGGGAUGAGGAGGCACUUGAGGAAGGAGACGCCGAGCGCCAGGGCGCGGAACCAGCUCCAGCUCCAGCCGCCUGCCGCCAUUACGCGCCCCCGCUG
rnacentral:lncRNA from 1 species